rnacentral:lncRNA from 1 species
AGGCAAGCACCAGCGAGAUUCUGCCAAUCGCUCAGUCCCGAUUCCUUUUACUUUCAACAAAUCCUUUAAUGCUUGGCGAACGGACUGCCCUGAUGUUGUGACCUAAUAGUCUCUAACCAAGAACUUGAAUCGUUCCACUUACCUGGGAGCUUUCCAGCCGGCUACCCUGACCUCUUGAAGUUCUGGACCCCCAGCGCUCUCUAGAAGCAGAAGUCCCCAUACGGGUUCCACCACUUGUCGCAUCCACCCCAACCAGCAGGCAAGAUGCAACACCACGUUGUCCUUCUUCAAGUAGGUUUAUUCAAGAACACUUCGCAUUGCAAUGCAGGAAUGGGAAUCCGCCGAACAACCCCGGAGUGCGCCUUAAAUACCCUACUGACUCCUCCCAAUCACCCCAGUCACAUAAUGGCAGUCCAUUGGUUCACAGCAAGUGACAACACCUCAGGCAAGCUGACAAGGCAUGGCGUCUGUGCAAUGCAGGCGGCUGGGAUGUGGCUAAGUCUGAGGUAAUGAGGAAGUCAGGCACAGGUCAUAAGACCUGGCAGCCAUCCCGGGUGCCAUCUUGGGGCAGCGGCCACACCCGCUCCUCACACAGUCCAGCACAGCCAGGAAGACUUAGUGUGUACAAUGGAUCUCAGCUGUAGAGAGAAAAUGGGGCCGCUUGCUCACAUUAGGACAGGAAAAAGAAAAAGGACAGCAAACAGAGCCAGACAUAAAUCUCUAGGGCUACUCCCAAUGGUCUUCAACCCCAAAAAACAGUGGUAGCUCAAACACAUCAUCUAUUGGGGUACAUUUUGCACCUAAACUAUAUUACCAUCACUAGGAUAGAGAUCAUUACUUCUACUUUAUGCUGGGCAAAUAGACAAAUGGAAUUACUGAAAUUCAUCUGAUAUUUUUUCCAUGUUUCUUGUAUACUAGCUUUUGUUUUGAAAUUCAUGACUUAUUUAAACAUUUAUUUUUACCCCAAAUUUAAUCUUGAGUCAGGUUAGUAGCAUGGUUUAUAACAUGUAAUGCAUGUUGCAGCUAAAGAAUUAAAAGGGUUAGAAUUACACUAUAAAGAGAAAAUAAUUCAAAGGAUUGCUUGUUUGUAUUUCAUUCAAAAGCACUUAACUAAUGAAAUGCCAGCAGAAGCCCCCUUUUCAGCAUUUAAGAGCCUUUAAGAGUGGGAUAACAGAGAUCAUUCAGUUUUGUUGCAGUGAUUCCCAAAAUGUCACUCAAAGAUUUUGUUAAAUUUUUUUUUUUUGGAAGUAAUGGCACACACCUUUAAUCCUAGCAGUCAGAGACAGGUAGAUCUCUGUGAGGUCAAGGCCAGUUUGGUCUACAUAGUGAGUUCCAGAACAGCCAGAGUUACAUAGUGAGAUCCUGUCUCCAAAACAUCAUCAUCAUCAUCAUCAUCAUCAUCAACAACAACAACAAAAACAACAAAAACAUAAGCAGCAGCAACCAUUACAUUUCUUUUUUAUUUUGAGACAGGGUCUCACUGUAUGCAUUGGCUGAUCUCAAACUCAUUAUCUGACAUCAAAAAUCACAGAAUGCUGGUUGUGGUGGCGCACGCCGAUAGGAUUUGCUGAAGGAGGCAGAAGCAGGAGAUCAAAAUCACAGAAUAUCUGCCUGCUUCUAUCUCCUAAGUGCUACUAUUAAAGUUGUGUACCAUCACUUCCAGCCCUAGAAAUGCAACUUCUUGAGUUCUAUUGUCAUCUUUCCAAAAUCUACAGUUAGACUCAGGAAUGCGUCUGUUUUGACAAGCUUUUCAAACGAUGCUAAUGAACUAUUAAGGUUAAGAACUAUUAUUAUUUGGCAAGCAAAUUUUUAGAAUCCUCUUGAUCUUGUUACCAAGUUUAAUUAUUUUCUUGUCUGUAUUAAGAUCUAUUAUAGGUUAUAACACCUCACAUAUGUUUUGGGCAUGGGGAGGUAGCUCAGUGGGUAAAGAACUUGUUAUAUAAGUAUGAGGACCCAGAGUUUGGAUCCCCAGCACCCUCAUAAAGUUGGAUGGACAUGAUAGCUUAUCAAUAAAUACUGAAUAUUGCAGAAGGGAUAAAGAUUCCCAAACUGAGCUUCCCAGUUGGACUACCAGAAUCAGUGAGUCCUGGGUUCAAGUAAGAGACGCUAAUUCAAUAUAUAUGAUGGAGAAUAAUCAAAGAAGACACUGGUAUCAACCUUGGAUCUCCACAAGCAUCUACACAUGUGUGUAUCCACACAUAUGAGAAUACAUUUUGCCAUGAACUUUUAUUCAGAGACCAGUAGUAUUCAAAUAUUUGAAGCA